AUUUAAAUAACUUAAAUGUAAAGUGUAUCAUUGAAGAUGAUAAAAUGAUAUUGAAUCUUUAAAUA
rnacentral:tRNA from 1 species